ACCACACCAGUAUAAUAAUAAGUCUUUCUUUUUCGGGUGGAGAUUUUUCUUGUAUUGUUUUUCAAAAAUAAUUGUUUUCGACCAUGUUUUCAUAUAUUUCUGCAUUUUCACAUC
ensembl:snoRNA C52G5.13 ncRNA